rnacentral:pre_miRNA from 2 species
GCCAAUAUGUUGCUUUUAUCUGCAUUUGCACCUGCACUUGUUUCUUCCUUCAUCUCCUCAAAACUUUAAACACCAGAGCUUCAAAGCUUCGAAUUGCUUCAAAGCUUCAAAGCAUGGCUAAGGCAAGAAAAAAGGAAAGAGAAUUAAGAAAAUGGAAACUUAUGUAUGGAAGGUAGAAAGGAAGAGAAGGAACCAGCAAGAGGUGCAGGUGCCAAUGCAGGUGAAUGCCAUCUUGGU